AAAGACACAGCUUCCCUAGCCCCUGAGUUACCGCUUCCUUUUAGCUCCACAUCACCUUUGCUCCUCCAGUUGGACAAAAACAGGCCGAUUUCAGAAUUCACAAUCCAGCGUACUGAUGUGUUUGUUCUUCACUUGUUGAACGGACCCGGGGGCUGUCUAGCGUCCGAGCACAGCCCCUGGCCAAAGAACCCUAAGUUGAGAGGAGAGACGAUGUGCUUUGACUAAGCCCGAACGCCUCCAAGACGGACUUCAAAAGCUGAAGGACUGGUCUUCCCUGUCCAACCCGUUUCUGUUUUCUUGAAUUGCCUGUGCACGAUUCAUUCCUGAAGAAGCUUGUCCUAGAUUCUCCCGUGGGUGAGCUGCUCUCCAUGAGGCUCCUUCGGGGGCAGCUGUCAAAGGCACUAUCGCGGGGAGCAGCCAGCAGGACGGGGUGUCGGGGGUCACUGCAGCUCCCUAGACAAGGAGAGUACGUGCCGCUCCGUCAGGGAACCAGGGUUUCUACCUUCUACUCAUAAAUUGUGAAGCCAGCAGCUCUGGCAAGAGGGACAGCUGGAGAGGCACAGAUGCAGAGGGCAAGUCCGCGGGAGUUCAGAGAAAGAAGAUACACUCGUGGCUCAGGACGUCGGGAAAGCAUCAGAGAGGGCCUGGACUUUGAGAUGAGCCUUAAAGGCAUAGCACCGAGAGUUCAAGGAGGGCGUUCCAUCUAGAGGGAAACAUCAAAACAGAAAUGAUACGUUAAACUAGAAAAACGUGCAAGGAAUACAGAGACCAACUCAGCUCAGCUAGGCUAGUUUCAGAGGCUCAUUUAUUCGUCGAAGAAAGAGGUAACGAUGACUUGAGCUUGGAGGUGACAAUGGGGGUGAGAGGCAUGACUGUGAGUCAGAAGGAGAGUUGGAUGUGCUCAUCGGACAGGUUUUCCCUGAGUUUCUAAGCACAAAUGUGGAAAGUGGGUUUAUUCACUUCCUCUCCCUACUCCCGUAACCAGUCCCUGCACAUACGAAAUAUUCAGUGUUUUUAGUUGAAUUUCUGAAUGAUUUGGUGCAGAAGAGAAAGGAGACGUAAAAAGAGCCGCGUGAGGCUGGACUGGAGGUUGGGAGGAGGCGGAAUAGAGAGGGCUUGAAGUUCAGUUUCAGGUAUGUUGAGCGCCAGGGAACUUCUGGAACCCAGGGGUGGUAUCUAGUAGGUCACUUGGGAGAGGUAUCCAAGAAGCUGCUGGGCUUCGAGACGUGUAUUUGCAAUUUGUAGCUGUGAGGGAACAAAGGGGAGGUAGUGGAGAACUUUAGGAUGUGCUUGCGAGUAAAAGGGGGUAAGACAAGGCAGAAAAGGAGAAUGAUUAGUUGAGAAUUGCCUAAGGAAAGAAGAUUAUAGAUCUAAGAAGACAGGGAGUAAGAGUGUCUAAAUGAUAGUAACCGACAGGGAACUAGACAGCUUUCAGAACAGAGAGCGAGAGUUUGAAGAAUGAGUGCGGAGGAAGAGCUCACAACUAGCACAGUUCACUUUCAGAAGUUUUAAA